rnacentral:rRNA from 1 species
UACGGAGGGUGCAAGCGUUAUCCGGAUUCACUGGGUUUAAAGGGUGCGUAGGUGGGCAGGUAAGUCAGUGGUGAAAUCUUUGGGCUUAACCCGAAAACUGCCAUUGAUACUAUCUGUCUUGAAUGUUGUGGAGGUGAGCGGAAUAUGUCAUGUAGCGGUGAAAUGCUUAGAUAUGACAUAGAACAUCGAUUGCGAAGGCAGCUCACUACGCAAAUAUUGACACUGAGGCACGAAAGCGUGGGGAGCAAACAGG